UGGGGAAUUUUGGACAAUGGGGGAAACCCUGAUCCAGCCAUCCCGCGUGUGCGAUGAAGGCCUUCGGGUUGUAAAGCACUUUUGGCAGGAAAGAAACGUCAUGGGUUAAUACCCCGUGAAACUGACGGUACCUGCAGAAUAAGCACCGGCUAACUACGUGCCAGCAGCCGCGGUAAUACGUAGGGUGCAAGCGUUAAUCGGAAUUACUGGGCGUAAAGCGUGCGCAGGCGGUUCGGAAAGAAAGAUGUGAAAUCCCAGAGCUCAACUUUGGAACUGCAUUUUUAACUACCGGGCUAGAGUGUGUCAGAGGGAGGUGGAAUUCCGCGUGUAGCAGUGAAACGCGUAGAUAUGCGGAGGAACACCGAUGGCGAAGGCAGCCUCCUGGGAUAACACUGACGCUCAUGCACGAAAGCGUGGGGAGCAAACAGG
rnacentral:rRNA from 1 species